UGGACAUUUCUGGCAUUGGGUAUCAUCUUACUUUACCAUGUGACUAGAGAAAAAAGGAGCAGAAGCUAAGUAUGUCAAAGGAAAUCACUGAAAGAUUACAAAGGUAGUGAAGAAUGAACAUACUGAACCACCAUCAGGUCUCAACAAAACUUCCUGUGGUGAAAAACAGAUUUGCCAUUUUUGCUUGCAUCCACAGUCCUGUAUUCUUGUAUUCUUAAAUAGUAGCUUGAAAUAAAUAGAACCAUUGGAACUCAGUGAAUGAAACAUUAUUUAAUCCUCAGUUUUUACUUAUACACUAGCCAAAUUCCUUUUCAUUUGUGCAAGAGUAAGGACAGAACAAAGCCCUAAAGUUUUGGCAGUACUAUUUGUUAAAUACAGACUUAACCUCCAUGUUUGUACUGCAGUGAUGCUUAAAUUUCUGUUAACUACAAAGAGAGGAAGAAAGUGGUGGAUGCUUGUUUUUAUUCAGUCCCUGCAAUUAAGCAAAAACUAAACACAGAAGAUCUAAGACAUCUGGAAAGAGGUGAGGUAAUGACUGGACAUGUUCUGUGGUGUCUGAAGCAGCAAUGCAGGGGAUUAUUGGUAAGAGCAAGCUAAGAGCUGCAAAAGAGAGGUCCUUUAAGAGCCAAACCAAUCAACUCUGGGGCAAGAGAGAAGGAAAAUAUAUGAAGGGAUAACCAGGAUGAAGAUUAUGGAGAUGAAGUGUGAAGUUUCAUGCUGUCUAAAGUGAAGAUGGACCCAGCCAUCUUAUUUGAAGCAGAGGCAACACUUGGUUGGCCUUGGAUCUGCCUCCCCGCUCCUGGAUGUCUGGGUAAGAACUGUGCUGUCUGACCCUGACCAGUCUCUGGACUCGAUCCUUACCCAGACUUGCUUUGCAUCCUGCUUCUUGGUCAGUGGGCUCACUGAUUUCACUGGAACCACGGUCAUGUUCAGCUCAUAAUUCAUCUUCCCAUGCAGAGCAGCCAGCCCUCACUGUUCCUGAAAACCAUCGAGUACAAGCUAUCAAAGUCAGUCAGUUUGGAAGUCUGAGCCAAUGAUGCCUUUGUUGUUUGAGCUGAUGGUGACUUUGUUGUAGAUGAUAAACACGAAGCUCUGACAUCUCUAAUAUGAGGGAUGAACUAUCACAUCGCUAUAUCCACCAUCAGCUGCAUUUGGAAAUGGAUCCAGGUCUUCACCUUCUACACUUGCGAAUACAGGAGUUUCAAAGAAUUUUCCACGAUGUCCAAAAUCAUGAGAUGUCUGGGAAGUUAAAAAAGAGUCACCAAAGCUUGCUUAGUUUUCUGCUUUAAACCAAACUACUUGGAACCCCAUGACUGAAUGCAAUAGCUGUCAAAAGUUGCUGACUAUCUCUAUAUCCCUUGGUGUAUCUGAAGGCAAUUAUAUUUUCUACUGAUGAUGUAGUUUUCCAGAUCAGCAGAUGUUGGACUGCAUCAGGCUUUUCUUUCUGGAGAGAAUUUUGAGGAUCCUGAUGUCAUCAGAACAUCCAACUUGAAGUUUACUCAAAAAUAUCUUACCAAAAUUUGUGAGUGGGAAACACAGUUUCCUUUCAUUGGAGGCUGAACAGUGACCAUGACAUGAUUCUUCUUACCAUGGAUGGAAUAGCUGGCUCCUUGAGCUUCCUCACAGCCUUGUUUUUCUGUUAUUCUCUCUUAAGUCCUACCAAAUGUAUUAAUUUCCUUCCUAAUCCCAUAUUCAUAUAAUUAGCUGAUUUUUAACAAUGAGUUUAUAUGUCUUAAUAUUGACACUGAUUAAACUCCUACUUAUAUACUACCUGUUGAUAUAACACUGAAUUAAAUUCUGGGAUGCUAAUAAGAUAAAUUUCCAGGUAAAUAGGAAAGGGACACUUUAAACUGUGAGAAGCUAGACAUGGAACAUUAUUCAGGCCAAUUGCAUAUUCAGGGUGUUUUGAGGCCACCUCUACAGAUUACAAUCAGUGGAAAAUUUUCACAAUUGGUCUCCUGGAUUUUUAGAUUUCCUACAUCUGUUCUGGUCUAGCUGUAAGCAUUUAAUAUACAUGUGCAUCUUCCUUCUGACCAUUAAGCUUAUUUCUUAAGGUUAUCCUGUUUCUGCCCAUCAAUGUGGCUCUCCUGCACUUGGCAUCUUCUUUUUGCUUGUGUCGCCUCAGACAACAAUUUCUCCUUGACUAUGUAUUUUU